rnacentral:rRNA from 1 species
CAGUAGCCGCGGUAAUACGUAGGUGGCAAGCGUUGUCUGGAAUUAUUGGGCGUAAAGGGCUCGCAGGCGGUUUCUUAAGUCUGAUGUGAAAGCCCCGGCUCAACCGGGGAGGGUCAUUGGAAACUGGGAAACUUGAGUGCAGAAGAGGAGAGUGGAAUUCCACGUGUAGCGGUGAAAUGCGUAGAGAUGUGGAGGAACACUAGUGGCGAAGGCGACUCUCUGGUCUGUAACUGACGCUGAGGAGCGAAAGCGUGGGGAGCGAACAGGAUUAGAUACCCCCGUAGUCCCUGUCUCUUAUACA